UUUUAAUGCGCGCAUGUGUGCUGCAUUUUGUUUUUGGCGCCCUUAUGAUACGGAAGUAUGACGUGUUUUUUUACUUCCACGAUUUUUUGUUUUCUUUUCCUGCCUGGUACAGCAUGCAAUGUGCGCGCGUACUAGAGUGUCUAGCAUAUAUAAGGGAAAUUUUCGAAAAAUAAUGGUCAUUGAUUCAACAAGAAAAGUAAUUUUCACUGACACUUUGACAGAGUGGAAAAUAUUUGGCGCUAAAUAGGACUUCUGAAAGAUAUCAACAGGGACUAUAUAACAGGGAUUAUAUAAACAAUCGACAGCAGAGAUUAAUAAUUACGGAUUUGCGCGCGACUUAAAUGGUAAAAAAUAGAUAAUUGUAUUAACAAAAUGAACAAU